rnacentral:rRNA from 1 species
GACGUAGGGGGCCAGCGUUGUUCGGAAUUACUGGGUGUAAAGGGUUCGUAGGCGGUGUGGCAAGUCGGGAGUGAAAUCUCUGGGCUCAACUCAGAGACUGCUUCCGAAACUGCUGUGCUGGAGUGUGGGAGAGGCGCGUGGAAUUGCAGGUGUAGCGGUGAAAUGCGUAGAUAUCUGCAGGAACACCGGUGGCGAAGGCGGCCUGCUGGGCAGUUGCUGACACUGAGGCGCGACAGCGUGGGGAGCAAACAGG